AAGGAUCAUUAACGAAUAUAAUUCGAGGGGUUGUCGCUGGCCUCGCUCGCGCGAGGCAUGUGCACGCUUCGCGUUUUUCUGAUAACCAACCUGUGAACCUAAUGUAGGAUGCCUCUCCUCCGGGAGGGGGGACCUACGUCUUCUCAACAUCUUCGUGUAGAAAGUCUUUGAAUGUUUACUAUCAUCGAGUCGCGACUUCUAGGAGACGCGAUUCUUUGAGAUAAAAGUUAUUACAACUUUCAGCAACGGAUCUCUUGGCUCUCGCAUCGAUGAAGAACGCAGCGAAAAGCGAUAUGUAAUGUGAAUUGCAGAUCUACAGUGAAUCAUCGAAUCUUUGAACGCACCUUGCGCUCCUCGGUGUUCCGAGGAGCAUGCCUGUUUGAGUGUCAGUAAAUUCUCAACCCCUCUCGAUCUUCUUCGAAGAGGGCGCUUGGAUAGUGGAGGUUGCCGGAGACUCGGAUUCGUUCCGAGACUCGGGCUCUUCUGAAAUGCAUCGGCUUGCGGUCGACUUUCGACUAUGCGCGACAAGGCUUUCGGCGUGAUAAUGAUCGCCGUUCGCCGAAGCGCAUGACAGAAGGUUCCGCGCCUCUAACGCGUCGACCGCUUACUAUCUCUCCGGAGAGAACGGCGUCUUCCUAAUAGACUUUUGACCUCAAAUCAGGUAGGA
rnacentral:rRNA from 1 species